rnacentral:lncRNA from 1 species
UUGGUCGGGCCGGCGCGGGAUCUGAGCUGCCGUCCAUGGAUUUCUCGCAGCUUGGCUGCGUUUCGCUUUGGAUCCGGUACGGUCCCCCGAUCUCUCUCUCUCUCUCUCUCUCAGACUCUCACACGACACGCGCGCGUAGAGUUCACACCAGUAAAUCCUAAACCGAAUCAGCCGGGCUCUCGUUGCCGCCUCAGUUCCCCAGCGCUGCUACGGUGCCGCCAGCCACCGCCAUUCCAUUUCCAUUGGCUUGGAUUCGGUUGUGGCGUCGGCUGGGAACCGUAGGAUGAUGUCUGAGGUUUGGUCGGUCGAGGCCAGGUAUGAGCAGCUCCUGAGAAGGAUGGAUGAGUGGACGCAUUAGGUGUCGUGAACUAAAACCACGACACUUGGUUUGGAACGGAGGGAGUAUAUUUUUAAACCAAAUCAGGGGAGCUCUCGUUGCCGGAUCGCUGACCUAUCGUCCGGAUGCCCGUCGCGUCAGUUCCCCACCGCUACAGUGCUGCCAGCCACCGUCGUCCCAUUGUCUUGGAUUCGGUUGUGCGUGUCGGCUGGGAACCAUACGGUGUUGUCUGAUGCGUCGUCGGACCGGAGAUUUGGUCGGUCGAGGCCAGGUAUGAGCGGCCCCUGAGCAGGAAGGAAGGAUGGAUGGAUCUAUGGAUAGAUGGAUGUAUGCAUGCAUAUAUGUAUGGAUAUCACUCCGCAAAAAAGAAAAGAAAAAAAUAUGUAUGGAUAUCAUGGUCAUGUUGCUCGGGAGUUCAACCUCCUUUUUGGAAAAAAAAGAGGGGCGAUGCCGAUGAUGAUGACUGUGGCUGAAUUUAUCAUGUCUUGAGCAAUCAAGACAGCUUGGCGAGGUGGGACUAAACAGUGCCAGAAAAUUGGUGUCUGCGUUGGAGUUGGCCUUAGAGCCCACCCUUGCCUCUCUUGCAGCCUGUCCAAUUCAUCGCCAAUGUUGGAUGUUCUUUGCCUUGGAUGGUCAUUCUGAUGAGUGAUAACCAGGGCAGUUCUCUUACAUGGCAAUGGGUGGAUUAUGCAGCAAGAGAUGUGAGUGUUGGGUUUGAAGAUGAAAUGCUAAACUGAGCCCUCUUUUGCUCAGUUCAGUUGCAUUUUGUUUUGGAUUCAGUAUGGGUCCUCCUCACCUCUCUCUCUCUCUCUCUCU